rnacentral:pre_miRNA from 1 species
AGAGUAGGUGUGAGCCAAGGAUGACUUGCCGGCCGAUUCCUGGUUCGUGUCUUAAACCGGCCAUGGAGUUCCUUUUUCCGGUAAGUUAUUCGAGGCUCAGGCUUGCUCUCU